UACGUAGGGAGCAAGCGUUGUCCGGAAUCAUUGGGCGUAAAGCGCGCGUAGGUGGCUUCGUAAGUCCGUUGUGAAAGUCAAAGGCUCAACCUUUGAAAGCCGAUGGAUACUGUGGAGCUAGAGUACGGAAGAGGCGAAGUGGAAUUCCUGGUGGUAGCGAGUGAAAUGCGUAGAGAUCAUGAGGAAGACCAGUGGCGAAGGCGGGUCUCUG
rnacentral:rRNA from 1 species